rnacentral:rRNA from 1 species
CCUACGGGUGGCAGCAGUGGGGGAUAUUGCACAAUGGGGGGAACCCUGAUGCAGCGACGCCGCGUGUGGGAAGACGGUCCUCUGGAUUGUAAACCACUGUUCUCAGGGACGAAAAUGACGGUACCUGGGGAGGAAGCUCCGGCUAACUACGUGCCAGCAGCCGCGGUAAUACGUAGGGAGCGAGCGUUGUCCGGAAUUACUGGGUGUAACGGGAGCGUAGGCGGGGAUGCAAGUUGGGUGUCAAAACUACCGGCUCAACUGGUAGUCGCACUCGAAACUGCAGGUCUUGAGUGAAGUAGAGGCAGGCGGAAUGCCUGGUGUAGCGGUGAAAUGCGUAGAUAUUAGGAGGAACACCAGUGGCGAAGGCGGCCUGCUGGGCUUUUACUGACGCUGAGGCUCGAAAGUGUGGGGAGCAAACAGGAUUAGAUACCCUAGUAGUC